rnacentral:rRNA from 1 species
UACGUAGGGGGCGAGCGUUGUCCGGAAUCAUUGGGCGUAAAGCGCGUGUAGGCGGUCCGAUAAGUUCGCUGUGAAAGUCGGGGGCUUAACCCUCGGAUGCCGGUGAAUACUGUCGGGCUUGAGUACGGAAGAGGCGAGUGGAAUUCCCGGUGUAGCGGUGAAAUGCGCAGAUAUCGGGAAGAACACCCGUGGCGAAGGCGGCACUCUGGGACGGUACUGACGCUGAGACGCGAAAGCGUGGGGAGCGAACAGG